rnacentral:tRNA from 1 species
AUUUAUAUAGUAUAAAAAUUACAUUUAAUUUCCAAUUAAAAAAUUUAAGCUAAAUUAAUAUAAAUA